AGCGGCGGACGGGUGAGUAACACGUGGGUAACCUGCCUGUAAGACUGGGAUAACUCCGGGAAACCGGGGCUAAUACCGGAUGCUUGAUUGAACCGCAUGGUUCAAUCAUAAAAGGUGGCUUUCAGCUACCACUUACAGAUGGACCCGCGGCGCAUUAGCUAGUUGGUGAGGUAACGGCUCACCAAGGCGACGAUGCGUAGCCGACCUGAGAGGGUGAUCGGCCACACUGGGACUGAGACACGGCCCAGACUCCUACGGGAGGCAGCAGUAGGGAAUCUUCCGCAAUGGACGAAAGUCUGACGGAGCAACGCCGCGUGAGUGAUGAAGGUUUUCGGAUCGUAAAACUCUGUUGUUAGGGAAGAACAAGUACCGUUCGAAUAGGGCGGCACCUUGACGGUACCUAACCAGAAAGCCACGGCUAACUACGUGCCAGCAGCCGCGGUAAUACGUAGGUGGCAAGCGUUGUCCGGAAUUAUUGGGCGUAAAGCGCGCGCAGGCGGUUUCUUAAGUCUGAUGUGAAAGCCCCCGGCUCAACCCGGGGAGGGUCAUUGGAAACUGGGGAACUUGAGUGCAGAAGAGGAGAGU
rnacentral:rRNA from 1 species